UUCUUCCUUCACAGAUUCCAUGAAAAGAUGACCUCUUUCCAAAUAUUUGCUUACAUGAUUCAUUUUGUGUAUGGUAUCCUAGCAACAAGGUGUGGCUCAACUAACCCUUUGGCAUGACUUACCCCACUCUCACCUACAGUUCCUUAAAUGUUUCAGACGCACUUUUCCUCUCGCUCCUCAUCAGGAACAUACCGGCUGGCAGAUGCUCCAUGUUAUGCUCCAUAGAGAGGAACCGCAAGGCUGCCCUGCUCCAAUCAGAGAACACCAGGCCACUUGCAAGGACAUGUUUUUUACAGAACAUCAUCUCUUAUAGAAGACUUAACUCAAGUCUGAUCCCAACUUGACCACCACUGGUUAUGAAAACCUGCAUCCUCGCAGUAAAUCGGUAAGUUCCUUAACAAAUACUAAAAUAUAUUCAGACCUUUGUUUCAUCUGUUAUGGCAUUGUGAGUUAGCAUGACUGCUCUUUAGCUAUCAGUUCAUAACCUUUUCGUUUCC
rnacentral:lncRNA from 1 species